UAGCUUUGGCGAUAUGUGAUUGGUCAGAAGCAAAAGAGUCCUUGCCCCCCUCCCACUUUAGUUAAUUCUAUUGGCGGAGAUUCCGAGUCCGCUCGUAGAGAUUUGGGUACUCUAUAUUAAACACGAGGAGACACCGCCCCCUAACCUGAAACCCCGAUUGGCCACAAGCACACCCAAGGCCCCGCCCCCUCAAUCGGUAAAUAAAUAAGACACUUCAAGAAUUUUGCCGUGGCUCCACCUUAACAACCGCGCAGCGGGCGUGGCUACCAGGGGCGGUGCUAGGCAAAUAUUGACCUGUGGGGCGGGGAAAACAGACAGAGUUGCGAGUUGGGGAUAGGCUAUCUCGUUUGGGGCGUGGCUUAUGGAUCUUCACUUUCCCGCCGACGGUUGGCCACAUCACGUGGCAUGGGUUGGAAGAUGGCGUCUCCCACUGACGGGACAGAUUUGGAGGCAUCUUUGCUAAGUUUUGAAAAACUUGAUCGUGCUUCACCAGAUCUUUGGCCAGAACAAUUGCCAGGUGUUGCUGAAUUUGCAGCUUCCUUCAAAAGUCCUAUUACUAGUUCUCCACCUAAGUGGAUGGCUGAAAUAGAACGUGAUGACAUUGAUAUGUUAAAAGAACUGGGAAGCCUCACUACAGCUAAUUUGAUGGAGAAGGUACGAGGCCUACAGAACCUGGCCUAUCAGCUGGGACUGGAUGAGUGUUUUCUCUCUUUUAUUUGCUUUGUAAUUCCAGCCAGAGAGAUGACACGAGGGAAGUUCCUCAACAUUCUAGAGAAGCCCAAGAAGUAGCAGCUGCUUGUGCACAGGGACUGUAACCAAUCUCCCUUCCCGGUGCAGUUCUGACGAUGCACACCUCAUGCUUCCUUAGGAGAGGCUGGAUCUGUACCUCCAGGACUGCCCUUCCCUGCUCCUGGCACUCUGCACCUCUGAGGACAUUUGGUGUCAAGAGAAGAAUCUGCUCUACCCAAGGAUCAUUGCUGUUAUUGUCAAUGUCUUAGCCUUGGAUAUAGGUAACACCAGAGGUCCUGUUGUUCUUAAAGGUCGAAGUUGUGCUUUCUCAUUUCCAAAAGCGAUUUGGGAGCCCCGGGAUCUUGUAGUUGAUUUAAUACUGUGGUGGCAAAGUCAAUUGUGUCAUGUUGACUGGAUGGGUUCUUUGGAGCUGUACUUGAUCUCUUAGGCAGUAUUUAUGAUCCGAGGAGAUAAAAGACCUACUAGAUUCUGGACCAGACCAUGCGCCCUGACCUGUGAACUCUCCAGUCUGUAGUAAGUUCCAAGAUUCUCCAGCUGGAGAGACCAGAAUCUUCUCUCAAAAUAUCUGCUUUUAAACUCCUACCCUUCUCAUGACAGUCCCACCCUCAGUGUCAGUCAUUCCCCCACCUCCCAGCCCACCUUUCUGGUCUGAUUCCGGGUCAGGAGAUCCUUCAGUAGCUUGAAGUGCAAAAGGCCCAUGCUGAUUGGGUUGAGUUAUCUGUUACAGAUUUAAGUGAAAGAGUCAGUAUGGCCUGACAGGGAAAGGGCGUGGUUUGUGGGAGUUCCCAUUUGAAUGAAAACUAGAAUCCUUAUUAACCUAGUGUGUGCUUUGGGAUGGAGACAAUGUUCUGUUUCCCCUUGUCCCCAUUGCAGCAUGUAUGAAAUCCUUAACCCAUAUGGCAGAAACACACACAUACUCACACACGCGUAUGGGUGCAAAAGAGAAAGAUAAUUUCCUGACCGACAUAUAAUUUUCAUGGGGUUCUUCCCCAGUUAUGUGUCCAUUAAAACCUGAAAAGCUAGGCCUGGGGGUUUAGCUCGGUGGUGCUGUGCCUGCUUCCCAAGUGCAAGGUCCUAAGUUUGAUCCACGGUACCAAAAAAAAAGCUCACCCAGGGGUAAAAUCAGCAAUAUAGUAAUAUAUAUUCCCUCAUGUUUUGAGAAGUGCAUAAAGUUUCAUAUCCCUGUGGGGAUAGUCCAAUAAUGUUGGGACACUGGAAAUUUGUAGCCAAUUUGUGGUCUCGUAUGUCUUGAAGGCACUGCGCUCUAGUUUAACCACUGAUUCUUGGGCCAAUUUCUGACAUUUGUGCAUGUUUCCCAAGCUGGAGCUAAUUUUUGGUUUUUCUCUUAUUUGUGCCUUAUGAGUAUCCAUCCGAUUUCACUUUUUGAAAGAAAAAAAAAAAAGCGCAGGACACAAGGAUGAUUGUGAAAAGGCAAAUACUCUGGCUGGUGUGCUUCCUGAAAGGGUCAGGUUUAAAGGCUUUAAUUAAGCUUAUGAUUGCUAUUUCUUGAUCUCCCUAAAUGCAGUCAAAGAAUAUGUGUGUGGAGGUGUCCAAAAUUAGUGCCAUAAUAUCGAAUUUUUCUUCCCUCUGUCUUUGAGAGUUGAUGCUGUCAGGCACUUUGAAGUGUUUGGGGAAUUGAGAAGUAUGUGGAAAUACUGGGACGUCUCCCCCAAGCCAGUCAAGUCUGUAACCGGAAGCCAAGAGUUGGAUCUCUGAUCUGCUUUGGCCUCCUCCUUUUACUGUUUGUCAUCUUAUUCACCAGCACUUAAUCACAAUUCUAGCAUGGCCUGAGCCAGCAAACGGAGAAAAGCGAUCAAAAGCGAUCGGACAACCGUACCGAAUCACAAACACAAGGAGGCCCAUUCUCUGUAAUUAGGCAGCUGUGACAGGCGCCAUUCCUGGAACCACACUGAAGUGCAGUGCGGCAGAAGAGAGCGAAGCACAGGCUGCAUAGCUCCCUACCUACCCUGACCUGCGCUAAGAGCCCGCAGCGCUUCGUGCCUCCAGCCCUCGCCUGCUGUCCCCAACCUCGCUCCUGGAUGAACCCUGCUUUUUAAAACAGAAAAGUGGCCUGUCAACUGCCAAGAGUGCAGCCAAGAAGCCACAACUGGCCGCACUCCACGAGGCUCGGAAAUUGGCCACUUAAUGAAUAGAAACAGCUCCCAGAGUCGCUGCCUGUUACAGGGAUUAUUUGGGGGCAACACAGUGGUCACGUGGUCAUAGCCAGGAACAAAGGAUGAAGGGGAGAGUGGCGUGGAAAUCUCAGUACAGCCCCAGCUCUAAACAGAAUAUUUUCAUCUUUAUCUUGGGCUGUGCUUUGUCUCAAUCUGUACCUGAUGCUUUUG